GCAGUCGUGGCCGAGUGGUUAAGGCGAUGUAUUAGAAAUCCAUUGGGGUCUGCAAGUACAGGUUCAAAUACUGACGACUGCG
rnacentral:tRNA from 1 species